rnacentral:rRNA from 1 species
GCGGCCUAUCAGCUUGUUGGUGAGGUAAAGGCUCACCAAGGCUACGACGGGUAUCCGGCCUGAGAGGGCGACCGGACACACUGGGACUGAGACACGGCCCAGACUCCUACGGGAGGCAGCAGUGGGGAAUAUUGGGCAAUGGACGAAAGUCUGACCCAGCGACGCCGCGUGAGGGAUGAAGGCCUUCGGGUUGUAAACCUCUUUCAGUAGGGAAGAAGCGAAAGUGACGGUACCUAAAGAAGAAGCACCGGCUAACUAUGUGCCAGCAGCCGCGGUAAUACAUAGGGUGCAAGCGUUGUCCGGAAUUAUUGGGCGUAAAGAGCUCGUAGGUGGUUUGUUGCGUCGGGUGUGAAAUUCAGGGGCUCAACCCCUGACCUGCACUCGAUACGGGCAAGCUAGAGUUUGGUAGGGGAGACUGGAAUUCCU